UUCUCUCUCAGUGCUUUGCAGCUUACAUGUCAAAGGUCAAUCAAUAUAACUUUCGCACAGUGUCAUCAGUGUCAUUGUUGUCACAAGUGAUGCAGUAAAAAGAGGAGGAGGGAACGUAUUUAUUAGCCAAUGGUUGAAUUCAAAUCAGUUCCAAGAGCAGACUAUGUGUGAGGUUGCCAUGCUAUGCAAGUGUGAAGCUUGUGAUGGAACAAGAAAAACCUGGAAAUAGAUGUGAUGAUUCCUAGCAACAGGCAGUUGAGGUGUCGGUGAGACUUCACUAUCAAUUGGACCCUUGAUCACCUAAGGGAAAUCGUCUGUCACCUCCAUUUAACCUCAGUCUGCCCUGCUUGUGUAGAUUGCAAACAGGGAGGUAGCUGCUUGUAGCCACCAAGCCACCUGUCACAUCCAUGUAUUUAUAUGUCCUUUUAGCGAAGAGGUGGAAGGAAACAAGACUAAAACAUUUUUUUCUGUGCAUUAGCCAGGACGGCCACGGCAUGUGAAUAGAAAGCAGUGUUCAGCCGAGGAAACAGUCUCACAGUGGAAACCAAACUUGAUUAAUCCCUGUAGCUUUGUGUUGUGGUGAUGCUGAUUUCUAAUGGUCAAUGUUUGGCAUUAUUUCUGAUCUAUAACUAUUAUCUCCUUAAGUUUCAAAAGGCUAUAGCUUCCUGUGAGAGAUGAGGGGCAUUUCUUGUAACAUCCAAUGCAGCACUUAUGGUGCAUUAGUAUUUUGGCUGAAACAUAACAUACCGUAGGCCUUAGACAAGGAACUCCUAGAAUAACCACCACCAUCAUAUCUGUCUUAGAUAUGUAAGGUCCAUCUGUCUCAAGAAUAGGCCUUAAAACAUUGCAGAACACUUCAUACUAUAUUGACUGCCUUCUUGCUAUCGCUAUUGAAACCACAGUGACUAUGUGGGUAAAUUAUUAAUCUGAAGAUAGUGAUGUCAUUUACGGCAAGUGUGUGCUAUAUCUCUUUAACUAUGGGCUUGAAAGGUUGUCAAACAAACAAUCACAAAUAAAAUUCCCCUCAAAGCAAUGUACAGUGUAUAAUCACCUCUACGUUGUGGGAAAAAUAAAGGCCUAUUGGAUUUAGUUUUUUGCUUGGAUCAAGUCCUGGUACAGAAGCGAAUGUCCUUGAGAGCUGAUGGUGAAGUUGCUACAUAUUACUAUAGCAGCCUAAGCUUAAUUUUUAAUUGAACACUGAGGUCGAGGCAACAUUAGUGAGCUCCUCCAUUUCAUCCAUCCCCACCACUGGCCCAUGCCUCAGACACACGUCCUUCAGCAGCAGACACGGAGAGCAAGAUCUACAGUCUCCUGCCAGUUGUGUUUGAGAGUCCCUCUACAUCUUAGCCUGUGGCUCACUGGGCUCUUUGGUCCCUUGUUUACUCUGGAGCUGCAGGGGAAGAGGUGAGCCCUAAUAAGCUCCAAACCAGGCUUGACACUGAAAUAAAGACCUCCAAACUGAAACAACUGAAUCAAAGGAGAGUAAAGAAUGUGUAUCCUGAUACCAAAGAAAGCAAUAUUUGUAUUUCCAAUGUGUAUCUGACACUGCUGUGUCCUAGGCCUAGGAUAUCAUCCAAUUUACAUGGAUGUUUUCCCCUGUUGUGCACUGAACAGAGAUCCUAGGCUCUGAAAGCAAGUCCUUUUUCAGCUCUGCUAGCAGUGUGUUGAGUCUGCAUGUCCUUUUUCAGCUCUGCUAGCAGUGUGUUGAGUCUGCAUGUCUUUUUUCAGCUCUGUUAGCAGUGUGUUGAGUCUGCAUGUCGUUUUUCAGCUCUGCUAGCAGUGUGUUGCGUCUGCAUGUCGUUUAUCAGCUCUGCUAGCAGUGUGUUGAGUCUGC